rnacentral:lncRNA from 1 species
AUUUAGCGAGGUGGCGAAUCUAAAACUUGUGUGGUGGCUUGAAAUCAACGGAAAGAUGAAUACUUGCAUCUUGUCGCCAAGGACAAACUAUGUGGUCUAUCUUGUAUUCCAAAGGAAUGAGAGAUUUCAUGGAUUUGAAGGCAAUCCUAUAGAGGCAUCAGUUGGAAUUGUUGGUGGCGAAACUACUACUUGGAUCCGGAACAUGAUACCAACCCCAACUCGGCUCGAUUAGAUGGGUGGUACGAAGUUGAAUUAGGUGAAUUCUACAAUGAAGGAAGAGAUGGCGAGGAACUCGAGAUGAGUAUUAUGGAGGUGAAAACAGGCAAUGCCAAGUAUGGGCUCUUGAUUGAAGGGAUUGAGAUCAGGCCUAAAUUUUGUUCUUAGAUGUUUUUGUGUAGGUGGCAAAUUCUGUGCCUUAAUUUGCAAUGUUAUUGAGUCAGGAGGGCUAAUUCCUGUAGUUAAUAUUACUAAACCAUUGUUCUAGAGCAGGAUUAUAUGAUAUAUUAUGGUAGCUUCUCGAUAUGAUGAUCCAAACUAAUUCGGAUGAAAAAAAUGUUAUUUGAUUAAAAGGGUCAUUCAAAACCCAAUUUUGCAAUCCUUUUAUGGUCAUAUUUUGAUAAAAAUACUCUCAUUUAAAAAAAAUAAAUAAAUAACAAUUUUUCUAUAACUACAUGUAAUUACUUGAAAUAGUUAAGGCUGUAUAUGUUAAAAAUUGGUAAUUUUUCAAACAAAAAUAGGAAAGAUUUUAAAUUUACAAAUAGGAAGAUUAUUUCAUCUUUUUUAACCAAUUAAUUCAAAAAAAAAAGUUGGAAAGAUCACUUCAAAUGAGAUUUGGUUGAUAUUUAGCAUUUUGUAGGUUUUCUAUAACAUUCUGAAUGUAAUUAGAUUUAUUUAUUAUUAAAUGGGUUUCGUAGUGCAAGGUGUUCAGUUUAUUAUGGCCUUAUCACCUUUAGUUCUUGUAUAUAAUUGAUGAAAAUCAAUAAUAUUUCUUAUGGUAUUCUUUUUUUGUGUUUUUUUUUUCUAUUUUUUCCUUUUAAAGAAAAAAGAAAAUGAAAAUGAAAGAAUUAUACAAAAAAAAUGUAUAUAUUUAGAGCUUGUGUUUGUUGUAUAAUUUAAAAAUAGUUUUUUGUUUUUAAAAACAAAAAAUUAUUUUUUAAAAUUUCUAACAGUGUUUGAUUGUUAUUCUCUAGAAAUAAUUUUAAAAAACGAAGUAAAAUAGAGAAUAAUUUUUAGAGAAUAAGUACGGGUUGUUUUCACCAAUUUUUAAAAAUUAAAUUUAAAAUAUUGGUCAUUUUCGUCUUAUUUUUUGAAACUUGUUUUUAAAAAUUAUUUUAAAUUUAAAGAAUAAAAAACAAGUUUUAGCAAACACGAUCAAAUGGGUCAUAGAUAUUUAAAGAUUUUAGAAAACCUCAAUUUGAUAAUAUGGUUAUCAUGCAAUUCAAUAUAUCUCUUUUACACUUCAUUUUUAUUUUUUAAAAUGAUCAGAAACAUGAUUAUUAGAUUUAUUUUCCAAUUAUAAGUUUAGAAAUAAUUAGUGCUUCACAAUGAAUCUAAAAGGUUUUUUAAUUAAAAGAAACUAUCUACCUUCAAGCUUUUUUUUAAUUAAGGAAAGCUUUUAAAAAAAAUGAUAUUUGAUAGAAUCAUUUAAUAAGUGACUGUGCACGAAUCAUUUCAAGUAAUUUUUCAUGUUUUCAAAAGUAAUUCUUAAAAUAAAUUUUCAUAUUUAUUUUAUAUAAACCAAAAAUUGUUGAGACACGAGGAAGGAGAGGUAAAAGGAGAAGGGAGUGGAACUAAGGAAUGGCAACGGGGCGGGUUCGGGACGGGUCGCCCCCAUCCCAACCCCGCCCCGUUUAUUAAAAAUAAUUCUCAUCCCCGUCCCGUUUAAAAAAUUAAACGGGGCGGGGCGGGGCGGGUAUGGGAAAUUCUCAAACCCGCCCCGUCCCGCCCCGUUUAGCCUCCUUUUUUUUCUUUUUUUCUUUUUUUUAAAAUUUGCUUUUAAAAUUUUUAAUUACAUUAAAAUAAAUAUAUUUAUAAAUAAUAAAAUUAUUAUAUUUUUUAUAACUUAUUUUAUUAAUUUUUUUAUUAUUAUCUAUAUAUUAAAAAUAGUAAAAUAAAAUUAAUUUUAAAAUUUAAAUUAAAUUAAAUUUUAAAAUUGAUUUUAUAUGUAAACGGGGCGGGGCAAUACCCGAACCCGCCCCGGGUUUAAAAAAAAAAUCUCAUAUCCGUUAAAAACCUGUUUAUUAAAUUUCAACCCCAUCCCAUUAGGGGCGGGGCGGGGCGGGUACCCGAAAAAACCCGUCCCAUUGCCAUCCCUAAGUGGAAGGUCACGAUUCUUCCCUUAACCGGUUAAGUUGAUUUUGUUUUACGAAUUUAAAAUGGAUGGCCAAGAUGUAAUCUUUCGACAUCCAAUGGUUUAAAUAAUUUUCGGUACGGUACCGGAGGAUGUACCGUAGAAUUUUCCAUAUUAUUUCAUGUAUGCUUCGUGUGUAAGAAAUAUAGCAGCAAGUCAAAAAGCCCAGAGCAGAGAGAACAAAUGGAGACUGAAAGCAUUAUUCAAGCCAAUUCUUCAAAGUUCGGCGCCGGCGUCGACUUCUCGGCACUGCCGGAAGAUUGCAUAGCCGGUAUUCUGGCACGGACAAGUAUUCGCGAC